CUUUAUUAACUACACUAUAAUAGCGUCGUGUCCAUACUAGGAGCUGACAAUUCUGGGUCGUGGACCCCAACAGGGUACUGUGUUACUUAUCCCCAUGCCCAUUAACAGGACUAUAGCCAGUCCUAGCUGUUGUUUAGUUUGAUUUGUUAGCAUUAUCUGGCACUGAUAUUCCCACGUUAUCCUCCUAACUCUUAGAAAUCAACACAUAUAUCGCAUAUUGGGGCGUGCAAAGCUUACGCAUCCUGGUGAUGCGAGGUCGGGUGCAUUUGUGUCAGAGAGUUAUAUGUCUGUUUAAGUGUCCUUAAGAAAAGACGAGCCCCAAUCCGGAAGUAUGUGUAUGGACUUCAGACGACCAGCUACAGUAAAGUAAGCGUGUAGACAAUUGUGAUCACACAGAUAUAUUUCCAGUGUCUACAAUGUUCAGAGAUACAGUGCUGUGGUGUAUAGCGAUUGUUACCAUUGUCUGGAUCACACUCACCUCAGGAGAACCGUGUGCCCACGAUGUCCGCCUGAUACAGAACCAAACUGGAUACUACGUCACAUGGUCAAGUCUGGG